GUGAUACUGUUUGACUUGCAUAUGGAUGAAGUACAAUCGAAAGUGUAUUGUCGGCCGCAUGUGCGUAGACAUUACACAGAAGCUCCAUUGCCAUUGCAUGUUAAUAUUCCAUGAUUGACACUGACGCCCAAAUACCUGGGGAUCAUCCUGGAUUAAAUAGCCUGCUGAUCCACGCUGUAAACGAUGAUCACUCGCUGUUUGCGAUACACAGUAAGCGGCUAAGCGAAAGCGUUAAGUGAUCCACCUGGGGAGUACGAUCGCAAGGUUGAAACUCAAAGGAAUUGACGGGGGCCCGCACAAGCGGAGGAACAUGUGGUUUAAUUCGAUGAUACGCGAGGAACCUUACCUGGGCUUAAAUGGGGAGUGACAGCUGCUGAAAGGUGGUUUUCUUCGGACACUCUCCAAGGUGCUGCAUGGUUGUCGUCAGCUCGUGCCGUGAGGUGUCGGGUUAAGUCCCAUAACGAGCGCAA
rnacentral:rRNA from 1 species